rnacentral:misc_RNA from 1 species
UUAUUAUGUCUUUUUUGCCACUUUAAUAUUCUUUAUAAUUUAUUUUAUGCAAUUGAAGGUGUGUUACUUGAACGUAAUUUAUAAUUUCUGUUUUUUUAAUUAUACUUUUUACCAGGCAACCCUACCAGAACAAAAAUACAAAAGAAAAAGGAAAAAAAGAUUCCACAGCUAAAAAAAAAUAUUACUAGUAAAAUAAAUAUAAAAAGAAAAGAAUCAACUCCUUGAGAUUGUCAAGCAGAUCUCACCG